CGGGCGUUGCAGCUCCGCCGCCCACCUCUGCGCAGGCAGCACCUUGGGCAGCGAUGGCGCCGCAGUCUCCUUGAUGUUUCUGCUGCAGUGGCAGGGAGCUCUGCUCCUGGAAGCGGGGUCUGAGACGCCCAUUAGUGCCAAGCGGAGCCUGGAGUGGGGGCCUGGAAUAGAAGCAGAGACAGCAAAGACGGAUGUCCUAAAUUAGUGCAGCUGUCCAAGGAAAAUCCAGAAUUACUCAAUGCAAGAAUUACUGGAUAUCUGUUUUUCUAAGAAAAGGAAAAAGAGCUGCAAGAGUUCAGUUGGUGGAUGUCUUUGACUUGUUCAGGUAUGAUUCAUGUCAUCCUCAUAGAUCUGAUUUUCUUUAAAAAGACAACCAAGUAACU
rnacentral:lncRNA from 1 species